UGAACGCUGGCGGCGUGCUUAACACAUGCAAGUCGAACGAGGAUUUAACGGAAUGCGAUUCGUCAAAUGAAAUUAAAUCCGAGUGGCGGACGGGUGAGUAACGCGUGGAUAACCUGCCUCACACAGGGGGACAACAGUUGGAAACGACUGCUAAUACCGCAUAAUACAAGUAAUUCGCAUGAAUAACUUGCCAAAGAUUAUAUCGGUGUGAGAUGGAUCCGCGUCUGAUUAGCCAGUUGGCGGGGUAACGGCCCACCAAAGCGACGAUCAGUAGCCGACCUGAGAGGGUGACCGGCCACAUUGGGACUGAGACACGGCCCAAACUCCUACGGGAGGCAGCAGUGGGGAAUAUUGCACAAUGGGCGCAAGCCUGAUGCAGCGACGCCGCGUGAGGGAUGAAGUAUUUCGGUAUGUAAACUUCUAUCAGCAGGGAAGAAAAUGACGGUACCUGACUAAGAAGCCCCGGCUAACUACGUG
rnacentral:rRNA from 1 species